AUUGAACGCUGGCGGCAUGCCUUACACAUGCAAGUCGAACGGUAACAGGUCUUCGGAUGCUGACGAGUGGCGAACGGGUGAGUAAUACAUCGGAACGUGCCUAGUAGUGGGGGAUAACUACUCGAAAGAGUGGCUAAUACCGCAUGAGAUCUACGGAUGAAAGCAGGGGAUUGCAAGACCUUGUGCUACUAGAGCGGCCGAUGGCAGGUUAGGUAGUUGGUGGGAUAAAAGCUUACCAAGCCGACGAGCUGUAGCUGGUCUGAGAGGACGAUCAGCCACACUGGGACUGAGACACGGACCAGAAUCCUACGGGAGGCAGCAGGGGGGAAUUUUGGACAAUGGGCGCAAGCCUGAUCCAGCAAUGCCGCGUGCAGGAUGAAGGCCUUCGGGUUGUAAACUGCUUUUGUACGGAACGAAAAGCCCUGGGUUAAUACCCUGGGGUCAUGACGGUACCGUAAGAAUAAGCACCGGCUAACUACGUGCCAGCCGCCGCCGUAAAAC
rnacentral:rRNA from 1 species